rfam:TPA: Bos taurus chromosome 27, whole genome shotgun sequence.
UCUCUGGUGGUCCAGUGGUUAGGACUCUGCACUUUCACUGCCGAGGGCCCAGGUUCAGUAUCUGCUUAGGGAA